CGCUGAACUUAAGCAUAUCACUAAGCGGAGGAAAAGAA
rnacentral:rRNA from 1 species